AAUCAACUCAAGCAAAAUACAAUUUUUUUAGGAAGAUCGUUUUAUGCCUUUUAAUUUUAUCCACUCUGGCUCUUGCUUGCUUUGCGUGGGAGGAAAGUUCUUGGAGCGAAAACGGGGUUGAUCACCUUCCUGUUGGACCUCCUUGUGAAGUGAGACAGGUGAAUGUCUUAAAAGGAGGCAAUAUUAUCUCCAUAUUUCACCAAGACUGU